rnacentral:misc_RNA from 1 species
GAUGAAGAACGUAGCGAAAUGCGAUAAGUAAUGCGAAUUGCAGAAUUUCCGUGAGUCAUCGAAUCUUUGAACGCACAUUGCGCCCACUGGUAUUCCGGUGGGCAUGCCUGUUCGAGCGUCAUUAUCCUCCCUCAAACCCCGGGUUUGGUGUUGGACCCAAGUUGUGUGAACAACUGGUCUCAAAGACAAUGACGGCGUCCGUGGGACCCUCGGUGCAACGAGCUUUUAGGAGCACGCAUCGAGUUGCAAGGACCUUCCGGGCCGGUCUCCUUUACCAUUUUACAAGGUUGACCUCGGAUCAGGUAGGAAUACCCGCUGAACUUAAGCAUAUCAUAAGCGGAGGA